UUUACAAUGGAGAGUUUGAUCCUGGCUCAGGAUGAACGCUAGCGGCAGGCUUAAUACAUGCAAGUCGAGGGGCAGCAUGGUGUGUAGCAAUACACACUGAUGGCGACCGGCAAACGGGUGCGGAACACGUACACAACUUACCCGGAACUGGGGGAUAGCCUUCCGAAAGGAAGAUUAAUACCCCAUAAGAUAGUGGAGUGGCAUCACUCAGCUAUUAAAGCUCAGGCGGUUCUGGAUGGGUGUGCGGCUGAUUAGGUAGUUGGCGGGGUAACGGCCCACCAAGCCUGCGAUCAGUAACUGGUGUGAGAGCACGACCAGUCACACGGGCACUGAGACACGGGCCCGACUCCUACGGGAGGCAGCAGUAAGGAAUAUUGGUCAAUGGACGCAAGUCUGAACCAGCCAUGCCGCGUGAAGGAUGAAGGUCCUCUGGAUUGUAAACUUCUUUUAUGGGGGACGAAAUCUACGUUUCUACGUAGUCUGACGGUACCCUAGGAAUAAGCACCGGCUAACUCCGUGCCAGCAG
rnacentral:rRNA from 1 species